rnacentral:misc_RNA from 1 species
UGAUGAAAACAAAAAUCAGAUUGUGGAAUGCAGUGCACUCCCUACUCUUAUACUAAUGCUUCGGUCUGAAGAUACUGCUAUACACUAUGAAGCGGUUGGAGUCAUUGGUAAUCUGGUACACUCGUCACCAAAUAUCAAGAAAGAAGUUCUUCUUGCAGGAGCUUUACAACCUGUAAUCGGGUUGCUUAGUUCCUCCUGUUCAGAGAGCCAAAGGGAAGCUGCUUUACUGCUAGGACAAUUUGCAGCAACUGAUUCAGACUGUAAGAUUCAUAUUGUUCAAAGAGGUGCAGUUCCACCAUUAAUUGAGAUGCUUCAAUCUCCAGAUGCUCAACUUAGGGAAAUGUCGGCCUUUGCUUUAGGAAGGUUGGCGCAGGACACACACAAUCAGGCUGGUAUUGCUCACUGUGGUGGAAUUAUCCCAUUGUUGAAGCUCCUUGAUUCAAAAAAUGGAUCAUUACAACAUAAUGCUGCAUUCGCUCUUUAUGGGCUUGCUGAUAAUGAGGACAAUGUUGCUGAUCUUAUAAAGGUCGGAGGUGUUCAAAAGCUUCAGGAUGGAGAAUUUAUUGUCCAACCAACUAGAGAUUGUGUGGCGAAGACAUUGAAGAGAUUAGAAGAGAAGAUCCAUGGUCGAAUAUUGGGCCAUCUGUUAUAUUUGAUGCGUAUUGGGGAGAAGGUUAUUCAGAGACGAGUUGCUUUAGCCCUUGCCCAUCUUUGCGCACCAGAUGACCAAAAGAUCAUUUUCAUUGAUAACAGUGGAUUAGAAUUGCUUUUGGAGCUCUUUGACUCAACAAACUUGAAACACAAAAGAGAUGGCUCUGCAGCUUUAUGCAAAUUGGCUAAUAAAGCUAGCUCACUUUCACAAGUCGAUGCUGCUCCUCCUUCCCCAGUACCUCAGGUCUAUCUGGGCGAACAAUAUGUAAAUAAUUCUACACUAUCUGAUGUAACAUUUUUAGUUGAGGGCAAACGGUUUUAUGCCCAUAGGAUUUGUUUACUAGCUUCUUCUGAUGCAUUUCGAGCUAUGUUUGAUGGUGGCUACCGGGAGAGAGAUGCCAAAGACAUCGAAAUCCCAAAUAUCCGAUGGGACGUUUUUGAGUUGAUGAUGAGGUACAUAUACACAGGAUCUGUUGAUGUUAAUUUGGAUGUUGCACAAGAUCUUCUAAGAGCUGCAGACCAGUAUCUAUUAGAGGGCCUUAAACGUCUUUGCGAGUAUGCCAUCGCACAAGAUAUAUCUGUGGAAAGUGUCUCUCUCAUGUUCGAAUUGUCAGAGGCAUUUCACGCUUUGACGUUGCGUAAUGCUUGCAUUCUAUUCAUUUUGGAAAAGUUUGACCAAUUAAGUGUUAUGCCAUGGUAUUCGCAUUUGAUUCAACGUGUAUUACCUGAAACUCGAAGUUACUUUGAAAGGGUGCUUACCAGGGCUAUUCAAAAUGACAUGCGAGUCUAGAUGUUUCAGAUUCAGUUUUGUUUUUUUAUUAAUUGUAACCGGGGGAAGGUAGUAUGUACAGGAGUGGUUACUAUUGUAAUAGUCUCAAAAUGAGCGCUAAUGUAAAAUUUACUCAAAGAUGCACUAAUUUUAGAUCUUUGGGUCAACUUAGCUUAUAUGGUUUCAACGCCUGCUAUGUUUGAUGUGGUGAAAGAAUGAGUAUCUACAUUGAAAAUCUUUAUAUAGUGGGUG